rnacentral:rRNA from 1 species
CAGCCGCCACGGGAAUACAGAGGUCUCAAGCGUUGUUCGGAUUCAUUGGGCGUAAAGGGUGCGUAGGUGGCGGUGUAAGUCUAACGUGAAAUCUCGGGGCUCAACCUCGAAAUUGCGUCGGAUACUGUAUUGCUAGAGGAUUGUAGAGGAGAGUGGAAUUCAUGGUGUAGCAGUGAAAUGCGUAGAUAUCAUGAGGAAGACCAGUUGCGAAGGCGACUCUCUGGUCUGUAACUGACGCUGAGGAGCGAAAGCGUGGGGAGCGAACAGGAUUAGAUACCCCCGUAGUCCCUGUCUCUUAUAC